CCUACGGGUGGCAGCAGUGGGGAAUAUUGGACAAUGGGGGAAACCCUGAUCCAGCGACGCCGCGUGAGUGAAGAAGUAUUUCGGUACGUAAAGCUCUAUCAGCAGGAAAGAAAAUGACGGUACCUGACUAAGAAGCCCCGGCUAACUACGUGCCAGCAGCCGCGGUAAUACGUAGGGUGCAAGCGUUAUCCGGAUUUACUGGGUGUAAAGGGAGCGUAGACGGCAGCGCAAGUCUGGAGUGAAAUGCCGGGGCCCAACCCCGGAACUGCACUGGAAACUGUGGAGCUAGAGUGCUGGAGAGGUAAGUGGAAUUCCUAGUGUAGCGGUGAAAUGCGUAGAUAUUAGGAGGAACACCAGUGGCGAAGGCGGCUUACUGGACAGUAACUGACGUUGAGGCUCGAAAGCGUGGGGAGCAAACAGGAUUAGAUACCCGAGUAGUC
rnacentral:rRNA from 1 species